AACAUUGAGCCUUGAUGUGUAGGAUAGGUGGGAGGCUUUGAAGUGUGGACGCCAGUCUGCAUGGAGCCGACCUUGAAAUACCACCCUUUAAUGUUUGAUGUUCUAACGUUGACCCGUGAUCCGGGUUGCGGACAGUGUCUGGUGGGUAGUUUGACUGGGGCGGUCUCCUCCUAAAGAGUAACGGAGGAGCACGAAGGUUGGCUAAUCCUGGUCGGACAUCAGGAGGUUAGUGCAAUGGCAUAAGCCAGCUUGACUGCGAGCGUGACGGCGCGAGCAGGUGCGAAAGCAGGUCAUAGUGAUCCGGUGGUUCUGAAUGGAAGGGCCAUCGCUCAACGGAUAAAAGGUACUCCGGGGAUAACAGGCUGAUACCGCCCAAGAGUUCAUAUCGACGGCGGUGUUUGGCACCUCGAUGUCGGCUCAUCACAUCCUGGGGCUGAAGUAGGUCCCAAGGGUAUGGCUGUUCGCCAUUUAAAGUGGUACGCGAGCUGGGUUUAGAACGUCGUGAGACAGUUCGGUCCCUAUCUGCCGUGGGCGCUGGAGAACUGAGGGGGGCUGCUCCUAGUACGAGAGGACCGGAGUGGACGCAUCACUGGUGUUCGGGUUGUCAUGCCAAUGGCACUGCCCGGUAGCUAAAUGCGGAAGAGAUAAGUGCUGAAAGCAUCUAAGCACGAAACUUGCCCCGAGAUGAGUUCUCCCUGAGACUUUAAGUCUCCUGAAGGAACGUUGAAGACGACGACGUUGAUAGGCCGGGUGUGUAAGCGCAGCGAUGCGUUGAGCUAACCGGUACUAAUGAACCGU
rnacentral:rRNA from 1 species